rnacentral:lncRNA from 10 species
CCAGCUUAGAAAACAAAGCCAGAUUCUUUCCCCCUCGCAAAAAAAGGAAGAAAUAAAGAAAAAGAAAGAUCUCUUCUUUGAUAAGCUGGCCUGUGAGUAGGAGCUGAAGAAAGGGAGGAAAUGAGCCAUGGUGGGGAGAGAAUUCCAGGAUGAGGGAAUAGCAAGUGCGAAAGCCCUGAGGCAGGAUGAAGCAGGAGUGUGUUGGGGCAUCCCAGAAACAAUAAGGCUGGAGCAAUUGGAGUGAAAGACACAGUGAUAGGAGGGUUUCACUCUGCUGCCUAGAGUGGAGUGCGGUGGCGCAAUCUCAACUCUGCAACUUCUGCCUCCUUGGCUCAAGCAAUCCUCCCACCUCAGCCUCCGGAGUAGCUGGGACUACAGGCACACAGCCACCAUGUCCAGCUAAUUUUUGUAUUUUUUUGGUAGAGACAGGGUUUCAACAUGUUGCCCAGGCUCGACUCAAACUUCUGAGCUCAAGCAAUCCACCCACCUUUGCCUCCCAAAGUCCUGGGAUUACAGGCAUGAGCCACUGCACUCAACCAGUUGUCUCUGUUUUGCUUCUUCUCAAAUACCGACAGAUAUUAAACAUUGUCAAAAACACAGUGCUAAUAUUUUCUACGACUUUCUUCCAAUCGAAAAGCUUCUAUAGCUUGUGAAAACACAUAUUCUUGCUCAUAG